rnacentral:rRNA from 1 species
CUGUGCCAGCAGCAGCGGUAAUACAGAGACCUCAAGCGUUAUCCGGAUUUACUGGGCGUAAAGCGUCUGUAGGGGGUUUAUUAAGUUCCAAGUAAAAUUUCAAGGCUCAACUUUGAAUUCGCUUGGAAAACUAAUAAACUGGAGUCUAGCAGAGGUGCAUGGAACUUGUGGUGUAGGAGUGAAAUCCGUUGAUAUCACAAGGAACACCAAAGGCGAAGGCAUUGCACUGGGCAAGCACUGACCCUGAGAGACGAAAGCGUGGGGAGCAAAACGGAUUAGAUACCCGUGUAGUCCACGCCCUAAACGAUGAAUGCUAAAUGUUCGGGGAUUCGACCCCCUGGGUGUUACAGCUAACGCGUUAAGCAUUCCGCCUGGGAAGUACGGCCGCAAGGCUAAAACUCAAAGGAAUAGACGGGGAUCCGCACAAGCGGUGGAGCGUCUGGUUUAAUUCGACAGUAAGCGUGGUACCUCACCAGGGUUUGACAUCCCUUGACAGCCUUGGAAACAAGGUUUCCUUCGGGCAAGGUGACAGGUGCUGCAUGGUCGUCGUCAGUUCGUGCCGUGAGGUGUUCCGUUAAGUCGGGAAACGAACGAAACCCCUAUUGCAUGUUACAAUUUCUCAUGCAAGACUGCCCGGAUAUACUGGGAGGAAGGUGGGGAUGACGUCAGAUCUGCAUGGUCCUUAUACCCUGGGCGACACAGGCGCUACAAUGGCAGAGACAAAGGGUUGCAAAACCGCAAGGUGAAGCUAAUCCCAAAAACUUUGUCUAAGUUCGGAUUGAAGGCUGCAAUUCGCCUUCAUGAAGCUGGAAUCGCU